UCCAAACUUACGUGAGUGUGACGUACAGAUAGGAGAACGUACUUUUGAAGUCGUCCCAGAGUUCACCUAUGUCGGUUCAAGGAUCAGUUCCGACAAUAGCAUGGAUGCGUUGCGAGCAAGGACGCUGGCUGCCUGCGAUAGCAGUUCACCUCAAAGAACCUGUUGCGACGGACGAAGCUGGGAGUAUAUAGCACGUAUAUAGUACUGGUACUCACAUACGUCACUGAGACAUGGGCACAGUCCAACCCUUCUGGCCGCGCUCAAGAGGAUGAUGCUCAGAAGGAUUCUUGGCCCCGUAUGUGUGGAAGGACAACAGAGAAGCCGUUAUAACGACGAGCUAUACGACAUGUAUGCGACCUCACUGUCGUGCAGCGUAUCAAGCUCGUCAGGGUCCCGUGGGCUGACCAUGGAAAUGGACGACCCAGCCCGUAAAGUCUUUUUAGACUGUCUACAACGACAGAGGAGGCGUGGAAGGCCCAAAUUGAGGUGGGCAAGAUGUCGUGGAGGCGUCCGCCAUUAAAGCCGGGAUAACUGACUGGCAGACAAAGACGCGUCUGCGAAACCUGUGAGCGGUUUCGUAUAUUCGAAUGCCUUUUUCUGUUUCUUUCUCCACUUAAACUCUCCAUGCAGCACUCAACAAUGCCCUCAACAACCCCAUCAACCAGCUGCUGCUGCCUCUUCGUGCGAUGUAAUGUAGUAUUGCAGAUUCUUUACGAUUGCAGUUAGUACUUUCCUCGGCACGUCCACGAGCCGAGCCUCAAUUGCCUCAAUCAUGGCGAACGGGGGCACGGCUCUCUACUCGAGUUAUUCGGUCGGGCCGAUGCUCUGAUCGCAUGCUGGACUGAUCAAACCAAUCAUUGUCGAAUCUAACACACACACGCGAUCGAACGUGUGGCGCCAUACACAUGCUUUUUCGCACCCAAAAGCGCUCCCCGACGUGCCAUCCAAUUGACAGUGGAAUGAUUAUCAAUGUAACGACGAUCUGAUCGAUAUCGAUUGAUAGAACUGCGUCAUAACGACCAGUUGACUAGUGAGAGUGCACACGCACAGAGCCUUCAGUUUUAAAAAUAAAAAACACCCCAACGACAUUGUCACGCUCAUCAAUACUCAUCAAAUAACGAUCGUCAAGUGUUUCGAUUGCGGAUCGGUGAA